rnacentral:rRNA from 1 species
UACGUAGGGUGCGAGCGUUGUCCGGAAUUAUUGGGCGUAAAGGGCUCGUAGGCGGUCUGUCGCGUCGGGAGUGAAAACUCAGGGCUUAACCCUGAGCCUGCUUCCGAUACGGGCAGACUAGAGGUAUGCAGGGGAGAACGGAAUUCCUGGUGUAGCGGUGAAAUGCGCAGAUAUCAGGAGGAACACCGGUGGCGAAGGCGGUUCUCUGGGCAUUACCUGACGCUGAGGAGCGAAAGUGUGAGGAGCGAACAGG